rnacentral:rRNA from 1 species
CGUGUAGGCGGCUCAUCAAGUCUGGUGUGAAAACGACAAGGCUUAACCUUGCGUAUGCGCUGGAAACUGGUGGGCUUGAGUUCCUGAGGGGAAGCUGGAAUUCCAGGUGUAGGGGUGAAAUCUGUAGAUAUCUGGAAGAACACCGGUGGCGAAGGCGAGCUUCUAUCAGAGGACUGACGCUGAGGCGCGAAAGCGUGGGGAGCAAACAGGAUUAGAUACCCUGGUAGUCCACGCUGUAAACGAUGUGCACUAGGCGUGGGGCCCGUACGGGUUCUGUGCCGUAGUUAACGUGUUAAGUGCACCGCCUGGGGAGUAUGCUCGCAAGGGUGAA